rnacentral:piRNA from 1 species
UCUGAUGCCCGUAAGCCACCAAG